rnacentral:lncRNA from 1 species
ACACUGUUAUAUCAAACAAAGCAAGAAAAAGGUCAGUAAGAAGAAAAUUUUAACUGAAACAGGAACUAGUGAUAACGAUGAUAAUGAUGCAUGAAAAAUCCUGGACCUGGACGAAGAAACAAAGUGAAUGAAAAGUAAAGUGAAUUUUACAGAGUAGAAUGGUAUCCCCCCUCUCAGGUCAGCCCUGCUCUUUAAAACAAACACAUGCCCACAGAUUGAGAUUCGCAGCUAUAACUCCUAAAGUCCCAUUGUCUUUUCCUGGGAAUCCACUUAAGCAACUCAAAGAGAAUUGCUCUGUCCGGACUGAGGAGACUACUUUACAAGGCUAUAUCAGAAAGCAUUUUGUAUGGUCUCAAUGUAGUAUGUUUUACAAAGAUAGCAGAAUACUGAUAAGAGCAGAAUAUGAAACAAUCUCCAUCUUGGCUUUAAUUUCUACCAAACCUCCCCAUGAUGGUCCCAUUGUCUUCUCCGCCACAAUCCCCUAAGCAUCCAAAUCAACUAAACUACAUGUUGAUCACUAAUGAGAAAAAAUAGAAAAAAUUUUAACCUCUCCCAGGAAGUUGAAUUCCAUUUAUUUUAUUUUUAGCACCUUCUGUAGACCAUGAUGAGUUAAAGAGUCUAUGAAUCAUGUCCUGCCAUAGACCAAUUUUCAUCUUCCUAUUGAAUUAUCCACCCUAAACUUAAUUUAUCUAGCAUCAUAAACCAAACCACUAACUCGAGUUGAACUUGGCUUGGGCUCAAGAGCAUGAAGAGCUAGACAAUGGCUCAAUACGCAUGGUUGAAUGAUCAUUUCUCAUGCUUGACCAAACUUAACUAGAUCAUGUAAAUUUGUAACUAUGGUUAUAGUAAAACUAAACAUUAAGUUAAGAUCACAUAUAUGGUAGUCAACAAAAAGGUAGAGCCAACCAAAGCUUGGAUUAGGUACAGUAAUUUAUUGUGAGCCUCAUUUAGAUCAAGAUCAGCCAGCACCUAGUUAAGCUUGCUCAGGUUGUAGAUAAAAUUCAAUGCGAAGUUAAAGCAGAUGCAUAAAACGAACAACAAGGAGGGACAGAAGGCAGGAAGCUUAACAUGAUCUUCCUAAAAUUGGGCUGUUUCUUAAGAAGGGAUGUGUUGCAAACUCUCUCUUUGUUAAGAAUCAAAAGUACCAGACAUUGAUGAAUGUGAAAACCAAGUCAGGAACAAUAAACAAGUAGAACCCAAUUCUCAAAACAGGGACUAGAAGACAGGGUUCUCUGGGAAAACAUAUUAAGUUUAAGGUUUGGAGUUGGUGGGCGAUAAUGGCAGAAGAAAAAAAAAAGAGAACACAAAGUCAAUGCAACUUGAAGCUUUAAGCAAAGAAACAAAGAGGGGGAAAGCAAAAAAUUGGAAAGGAAUUUCGAAUAGUUUUGUUUAUUUAUUUUAGAAAUAAUAAGAAAAAAUAAUUAUAAUAAAAACUAUUUAAAGUCUUCAUAUUUUUAAUUUAUAAUAAUAUUUGAGAAAUAAAAUAAAAUAAAAUAUUAAAUUUAAGCUUAAUAUUUAUUUUUUUCCCAGCUUCUUACAAAAUUUUCAUAAUUUAAAAUGAAAAGGUUUACUAAUUUUUCUCUAUUUUAUCAUCAUGCCUAAAACUUUCCAUGAUUUAGAUAAAGAUAAAAGGGUAUAAAAGUGAAAAUAAAAAGUAAAGGAAAGUAAGAUUCUUUACUAAUAAUUGUUUUUGAAAACAAUAAUUAAAUAGUAAAAUUCUUUAAAAUAAUAUUUUAUUUUUAAAAACAGAAACUGUUUUUAAAUCAUUCGGAAAAACUGAUCUUGAAUUUUAAUAUCUUUAAUUUUUCUUUUAGGUCGGCUAAAAAUUAUUGAAAAAAAUAAAAAUAAAUAAAACCCACUUGAUUUGUUCAUUAAUGGCUGCUUCACACUCCUCGGAAUAGCCUUGGCGAGCAAGCGAAUGUUGAGGAGAAAUCGGAACAAGAAAAUCCUCCUUCUUCAACUCUUCAAACGGCUGAAAUACCACUCUACUAGUCGACAACUCAUUACUUCUCUCUCCUGAUCCCCUCACCACCAAUCCAUUAUUCCCUCUUCUCCUCUGCCACCGAGAAGUACAAGAGGAAGAAGAGCCGAAGCUACCAAAAAGAGGACUUCCAAGACCCUCCCCUGACGACCCUAAGAGAGAAACAACUGAAACACCUCCCACAAGCAUGGCUAAUUCUAUCACAGAAAUAAAGAAAAGACGAGAAAGAUGCAGAUGAGAGGUGAAGUGAUGAAGAGGCUGAUGAUAUAAUAUAAGCUCCCUUUGAGAGAGUUCCAUUCUGAUGGGGCUCAUUUUGGAGCGUAGGAUGAGAACAGAGGUGGAGGGAGGAGGUUGCACCACGUGUAGAGGGCGUGUGGCGAGCUCGUGGUUUAUCCAAGAUGCCAUGGAAUCUGACCAAAUAUCUGCUUCACGUAGCGAUCCAAAUACGGUUUCACUCCACGACUAGAGUUUUGGGUCAAAAUGGCCCAUUUUUUAAACUUAAUGUUGAAAAUAGGCACAUUUUUAAACUAUUGUUCAAAAUGGUCUCUUUGAUGCCACGUAGAUUCCACAUCAUUAAAAAAUAUUUUUUUUCAUCAUUAUAGUGAAAGCCGCAGUUGGGAAACGCAACUUCAUUUUUGUACUUCAUUUUUGUACUAAAACCACAGUUGGAAAACGCGACUUUAUUUUUGUACUAAAGCCGCAGUUGACAAACGCGACUUCAUUUUUGUACUAAAGCCGCAGUUGCCAACACAAUUUCAUUUUUUAACUAAAGUCGUAGUUGCCAACUGCGGCUUUAGUUAAUUUUUAUUUAAAUUUAAAAUUUAAUUAAAAAAUUAUUAAAUUACAAUUUAUGAAUGAAAUUUAAAAGUAUACUUAAAUAAUAAAUUAUUUAUAUUUAAAUUUAAAAUUCUAGUAUUACUUCAACAAACAUAAAUUGAUAAAUAGAAGAUAUUAUAAAUGAAUGUUUUAUUUAUUAAUAAAUUAAUAAUCUUAAAAUAAUAAAUUUAUAUAACAUAUAAAUAAUAUAUAAAAUUGUAUAAUUUAUUAAUUUAAGAUAUUUAAUUUGUUAAUUUUUAAGAUAUUAAUUUAUUUAUAUUAUGAUAAAUUUAUCUUUAUCGAAAUAAUAAUAUAGUAGUUAAUAACUGAGAUUUCAAUUAUAAUAUUUUUUUUACUUUCAAAUUUAAUUAAAACUAUUAAAUUAAAAUUUAUGAUUGAAAAUUUAAAAAUAUACUUAAAUAAAAAAUUAUUUAUAUUUAAACUUAAAAAUCUAGUAUUAUUUCAACAAACAUAAAUUGAUAAAUAGAAGAUAUUAUAAAUGAAUAUUUGAUUUAUUAAUAAAUUAAUAAUCUUAAAAUAAUAAACUUAUAUAACAUAUAAAUAAUAUAUAAAAUUGUAUAAUUUAUUAAUUUAAGAUAUUUAAUUUUUUAAUUUUUAAGAUAUUAAUUUAUUUAUAUUAUGAUAAAUUUAUCUUUAUCGAAAUAAUAGUAUAGUAGUUAAUAACUGAGAUUUCAAUUAUAAUAUUUUUUUUUUACUUUCUAAUUUAAUUAAAAACUAUUAAAUCACAAUUUAUGAUUGAAAUUUAAAAAAUAUACUUAAAUAAAAAAUUAUUUAUAUUUAAACUUAAAAAUCUAGUAUUACUUCAACAAACAUAAAUUAAUAAAUAGAAGAUAUUAUAAAUGAAUGUUUUAUUUAUUAAUAAAUUAAUAAUAUUAAAAUAAUAAAUUUAUAUAAUAUAUAAAUAAUAUAUAAAAUUGUAUAAUUUAUUAAUUUAAGAUAUUUAAUUUGUUAAUUUUUAAGAUAUUAAUUUAUUUGUAUUAUGACAAAUUUAUCUUUAACAAAAUAAUAACAUACUCUUAAGCCGUAGUUGUCAUAUAUAGAUUUUUUUACAAAAUUAGUUAAUGAAAUUAAUUAUAAAAAGUCUACUAAAAAAUGUAAUUUUUAAUAGUUUAAUUAAAGUCACAAAAAAUAUCCACUAAACAUUAAUAUAGUGGAAAAUAAAAAACAUAUAUAAUCUCACAUGCCUCCACAAGGAGAGAACCUAUGUUGGUACUCUCUUCCUUUUUGGACAAAAACCUAUAUAUAAUCACACAUGAUAAAAUUUAUUUCUCACAUGGAUACAAUUGGCCGGAUAAAUGCCGAGGCUAGAAAUUGGUUGGAGCAAAUUCCUCUUGAAAAAUGGGCACUCUCAUAUGAUGGUGGGCGGAGAUAUGGGAUUAUGACAACUAAUAUGUCUGAAGUUUUUAAUGAUGUCAUUAAGGGUGCUCGUAACUUACCAAUAACAGCUUUAGUCCAGUUAACUUUCUAUCGGGUUAACAGUUACUUCACAGUCAGGCGGGAGCAUGGUGCCAGUCGGCUCGCUUCAGGUGAAGAAUUUACUCCACAUAUUGACGCCAAGAUAAAGGCUAAAGUUGUUAAGGCGGGUGCACAUGAGGUUCUUUUGUAUGAUCAUGUGGCGGGACGUUUUCAUGUUAAAACUAGACACUCUGUUGGAAGCAGUAAUAGGAAACCUCGCACAUAUCAUGUUACCCUUCAAAUGGGGUCUUGCACAUGUAACAAAACACUUUUGUUAGGAUUCCCAUGUUCGCACAUUCUUGCUGGUUGUCAUUGUCGAGCAAUUGAAUUUCGACAAUUUGUACAAGGUUAUUACACCACACGUGCUUACCUAUCAACAUGGGCUCCCUUGUUUUAUCCCAUAUUUGAUGAGUUGGAGUGGCCUCAAUAUAAUGGACCGAUAAUUGUGUCUUCAGACUCAAUGAAAUGGCUAACUUCUGGUAGACCAAAAUCAAGUCGUUUGCAUAAUGAGAUGGAUGCAAGGGAAACUAGGACUCCACAAACAUGUGGACUUUGCAAGCAAUCGGGUCACAAUCGGCGUUCUUGUCCAAAAAGGAAGAGAGUACCAGUUACACAUAGGUUCUCUCCUUGUGGAGACAUGUGAGAUUAUAUAUGUUUUUUAUUUUCCACUAUAUUAAUGUUUAGUGGAUAUUUUUUGUGACUUUAAUUAAACUAUUAAAAAUUACAUUUUGUAGUAGACUUUUUAUAAUUAAUUUCAUUAACUAAUUUUGUAAAAAAAAUCUAUAUAUGACAACUACGGCUUAAGAGUAUGUUAUUAUUUUGUUAAAGAUAAAUUUGUCAUAAUACAAAUAAAUUAAUAUAUUAAAAAUUAACAAAUUAAAUAUCUUAAAUUAAUAAAUUAUACAAUUUUAUAUAUUAUUUACAUGUUAUAUAAAUUUAUUAUUUUAAGAUUAUUAAUUUAUUGAUAAAUAAAAUAUUCAUUUAUAAUAUCUUCUAUUUAUUAAUUUAUGUUUGUUGAAGUAAUACUAGAUUUUUAAGUUUAAAUAUAAAUAAGUAUAUUUUUUAAAUUUCAAUCAUAAAUUGUGAUUUAAUAGUUUUUAAUUAAAUUGGAAAGUAAAAAAAAGAUAUUAUAAUUGAAAUCUUAGUUAUUAACUACUAUACUAUUAUUUCGAUAAAGAUAAAUUUAUCAUAAUAUAAAUAAAUUAAUAUCUUAAAAAUUAAAAAAUAAAAUAUCUUAAAUUAAUAAAUUAUACAAUUUUAUAUAUUAUUUAUAUGUUAUAUAAAUUUAUUAUUUUAAGAUUAUUAAUUUAUUAAUAAAUAAAACAUUCAUUUAUAAUAUCUUCUAUUUAUCAAUUUAUGUUUGUUGAAGUAAUACUAGAAUUUUAAAUUUAAAUAUAAAUAAUUUAUUAUUUAAGUAUAUUUUUAAAUUUCAUUCAUAAAUUGUAAUUUAAUAAUUUUUUAAUUAAAUUUUAAAUUUAAAUAAAAAUUAACUAAAGCCGUAGUUGCCAACUGCGACUUCCUUAAAAAAUGAAGCCGCGUUUGGCAAUUGCGAUUUUAGUACAAAAAUGAAGCCGCGUUUGCCAACUGCGACUUUAGUGCAAAAAUGAAGUCGCAUUUGCCAACUGCAGUUUUAGUGCAAAAAUGAAGCUGCGUUUCCCAACUACGGCUUUAGUGCAAAAAUGAAGCCGCGUUUCCCAACUGCGGCUUUCACUAUAAUGACGAAAAAAAAUAUUUUUUAAUGAUGUGGCGCCUAUGUGGCAUCAAAGAGGCCAUUUUGAACAAUAGUUUGAAAAUGUGCCCAUUUUCAACAUUAAGUUUCAAAAAUGGGCCAUUUUGACCCAAAACUCCCACAUCUAAAUACCUUGUGCUUCUGGAAGUUGUGACUUCCAAGCUUUCGUGUGUGACCAAAUUGUUGAGGAGCCUGUCCUCCACACGAGGCUUUUCCUUAUCCUCUAUCCUACUCUUUUUUCUCAAGUCCUACAUAUCUAUCCAUAUAUAUAUAUUUCUUAUUUUUAAUAAUAUUUUUAACUAAUACUAUAUUUUUAUAAUAAUGAAAUUAUUUAAAAUAGAGAUAAUUGUACUUUUGACCCAAUUGGGUCUAAAACACAAUUAUCCCUUUAAAAUAUAUGUAUUAUAAAAUUAAUUAAUUUUAUAUUUUAAAUUCAGUAUAUAAAAACAAUUAUUAAUUAAUAUGGAUAUAUUUUUAUAAAUAAUAAUAUUACCGAUAACUAUUAUUUUAUAUAUUAUUUCUAAAUAAUAAAAUUUUUAAAAAUAUAAAUUAUUUUGUUAGUAUAUAUAUAUAUAUAUAUAUGCACACGUUAAUAUUAAAAUAAUACUAUUUUUUAUUCACUUAGCUAUUGAUUAAAAAUAUUUUGGUAUUUAUCUUGAAUUUUAAUGUUAAUUUUACUAUUAAAUAUAUAUAUAUAUAUAUAUAUAUAUAUAUAUAUUUUAAAAGUUUAUUUAAUGCCUUUCUUCCUUAUUUCACUUUGACUUUAUUUCUUAAUAUCCUUUUAAAAAUAUUUUGAUAAAUGAAUGUUUAAUUUUUUUUUUUUAUAGGUGAAAUUAAAUUAUAUCAUAUUUAACUUGUUAAAAAAACAUUUAAAAACUUAAAAAAAAUUAAAACUAUUGUGGAUUUUAUUUUAUUCAAGUUUUUUUUAAUAAAACUAUUAUCGGUUCUAUUUUAUUUGAGUGUAUUAAAUUAAUUUUUUUAAAUGAAUAAUUUUCAUUUUUCUUUAAGUUAAAUUAGUUUUGUAAGAUAAACUUUAAAAUUUAAAUAAUUUAAAAUUUAAGCGUUUUAUGUAAGCUGAAACCACGUUCACACGUUCUCAUUUCAUGAUGUGGUCCAACACUUUGACCACGUCCUCCACCAUCUCACUUCCGCUGCGGUUAAGGAGCACAUUCCAGCAAUUGCUCAACGUGGUGGCAAGAGCAACGUGGUUUGAUGGAAGCCACUGUUAUAAAGUUUUUAGUAAAUGGUCCCGAACUCACUCUGUUUUUAUCUUUAGAAACACCAUCUAAAAAAGGGAGAUUAGAGUUUGGAAAUCAAGUUUUGUUAUAAAGUUUUUAGUAAAUGGUCCCGAACUCGCUCUGUUUUUAUCUUUAGAAACACCAUCUAAAAAAGGGAGAUCAGAGUUUGGAAAUCAAGUUUUGAAACCGACUACAAUGGCUGGAGGUAAGUAAACUAUUCUUAGUCUUUUUCAGUUUUGAUUCAUGUUGCAAAUUCAUUGGAAUCAUAUAUAUAUAUAUAUAUAUAUAUAGCAUGUAAACAACUUACAUUUGGUAUCAGAGCAAGUUAAAUCUUACCUCUGUUUUGUAUUAAUUCUGAAUGAAAAUUCUUGUUAUUAUGAUCUCUCUAAAUUAUAAAAACAAUGGCUACUUGAGGCGAUCCAAAAGGUUGGUGUAAUUCUUUCAGAAAACGCCAUUACAGGCAUUCAACAAGCAGCCAUUCAGGUGCUGUUUUCGGGUGCUUUAGUAGCGCUGUUAAGGCGCCAUUGGAGACACCAUUUAGAGUGCAUUUUGGGGCUGCAACCAGUGCCAUUUCAAGCGCCAUACCAGCCCCGUUCAGGCACCACAUGCAGCACCAUUGAAAGUCCAUUUUUUUGGGGCUGCAACUAGUCCAUUUUAAGGCGCCAUACCAGCCCCGUUCAGGCACCACAUGCAGUACCAUUGAAAGUCCAUUUUUUUGGGGCUGCAACCAGUCCAUUUCAGGCGCCAUACCAGUGCCGUUUCAGGCAUCUUUUCACGCCGACAAGAGGCGCCCUUUAGGAGUGCCGUUCAGACGUUAUUCGCAGUGGUUGGAAGUCACCAGUGAGGACUUACUUGCUGGUGAUGUUGAUAGCCGGAAGGCACCCGUGAGACUCUUUAUGCCUCUGAUGUAGGUGGCUCCAUGGCUAGCUGGUGAUUAAGCAAUCCACAAGGGUGGCCAUAAAUUAGAACCUAGAGAGAGAAUGGGUUCUAUUAGGUGUUGGGCCAUGUAUUAAAUGGGAAAUUUGGGGCUUGGUAUAAAAGGCUAUUGGGCCCUUUGGGCUUAAUGCAUAAAUAAUGGCCCAUUAUGAAUACUAAGGGUUGGGUUUCUUAUGAAGCCCGCUAAAGUUUGGGUUUUAAUAUGGAUUGACCGGUAAUGGCUUAGAAAUAAAAUUUGUUGGGCCAUGGGGCUCAAUGUGGGCAUGUGGUUGAAUUUUUUAUUUUAAUUAAUUAGGCAUGGAAUUGAUUGUGUUUUAUUUGGAUUUAGGCAUUCAUUCAUAAUCUGAAACCUUUAAAUUAUUUUUAAAAUUAUCAUGUAAAUUUUAUACAUGCUAAAUAAAUAAUUAUAUAUUGUUUUAUAUGUUUGUAGCCUAAAUUAAAGUUGUAGCUCUUAAUGCAUGCAAUUAUUGCCUGAAUUUGAGUUAGAUAUAUUAAAAUUAUAUCAUAUAGUUUUAAUGUCUAGUGAAACUAUAUGAUUUUUUAAAUAAUUAAGGAAUAGCCACAACAUCCUUAAUUAUAUAAAAAUUAUAUAUUAAGUGAAUAAGGAUCACAUUAUGGACAUUAAUUGUAAUUAAUUAUAUAAAUAUGAUGAUUUUACCCCACAGGGUUUUCAUUAUGUUUAUAUAAUUAAUUAGGAUAAAAUAUUAAAAUUAAUUUUUCCUAACUUACCCACAGGAGUUAGGAAGAAUUAAUUUAAUAGGUUUAUCAUAAAGAUUAUAGACAGAAAAUAUUAAACUAUAUUCAUAAUAAAUUUCAUAAUUCAAUAAAAUAGUUUGAUAAAGUCUAUCAUAAAGAUAAUUAAUUUGAUUGAAUUAAAGAUUUAGCCCAUAGGCAAUUUUUAAUAAAAUUAGAUUAAAUUUUAAGCAUGUUCUACAUUGUGUGGACCCGCAUUUUUCACGUGCGCCCCCACUCGAUCAGCGAGACUCGCUUUUUAUUUGUGAAAAUUUAAUUUUUGGAAAAAAGUUGGAGCCGCCACUUAUUUUAUUUUUAUUUUAAAGGGAAAAUAAAGCAAGAAAGAAAAACCCUAAAAUGUGACUCCAUAAUUUUUGGAAAAAGUAUGUCUUUGAAAAAAACCCGAGUCUAAGUCUGGGGAUCAGGUUACCUAUUGGGAAGGUACCUUUAAAAGGUAGCACCCCUCGAAGCCCUAUAAAGGUCUCUACUAACUAAGUUAAGGGGAAUGUGGCAAUUAAUUGGUUAAUUAUGGAUACCUAAGUAGACUAGGUGGUUCCAAAAAAUAGCAUGCCAAACAAGAUCAAAUCAUAAUAAAGGAAGGUUAGGAUGCGUACCUGGACCGCUUCUCAAGCGCUAUCAUAAAACAUCGAUGGUUAAUUUAAACAAUAUAUCAUCCACCAUGUGUUUUAUUAGAAAUAAUCAAACAAUGAAACAUGUAUAUCAGAACACUCAAGCAUUAUUAGACAUAAGCAUUAUUUCACAAUGACAAGCAUAUUCAUAGAAUUCAGAAAGUAGGUGAUAGAAGACAUACCUGGAUAGCAUAGAUAAUUUGUAACGUGCUUCCUCAAGUUGUAAGGGGUUAGAUAAUAAAUAAUCAAAUAUAGAAAUCCUAGCAUGCUCGUUAUCUAAUUAGCAUAGCAAAAGUGAUCAAAGUAUACAGAAUCAUCAAUUAUCACAUACAUCUUGUAUAUAAUUCCUAAAAAAAUAGAUAGACAUGAUUUCAACAAGUGUCAAAUGUGGCAACAAAAAUAAAUUUUGAAAAGAUUUUCUUAUGUAGGGGUUUCACCAAUUCCCCAAUCGAUAUAAACAAAUUUAGUUUAGAAUUAUCCCAUUUAUUUGGGACCACAAGCUUUGAUUCGUGUUUUAUUCAAAACUGUAAUUUUAUUUGAAAGAUGUGAACCGAUCAAAACAUGGUUGCACAUUAUUUUUAAAAAAUGAGAUUUUGAUUCUAAGAACUCUAAAUGAAUUUUUGAAAUGGAUUGUUAAGGGGAUCUUUUGAGAAUAGUGUUAUGUUUUUAAAAAUUAAAAGAAAUUAAAUUCUUUUUUUUUUUAAAAAAAAAAAAACAUAUGAAUCAAAAUACCAAGCAUAACAAAAGAGAACAAGAUCACAAAUUAGAAUUUUUGACAACCGAGAAAAUUGAAGGUGAGAAUGGAGGCCAAUCUUCAUGAGUUUCCAAAGGUCUUAGAAAAAGAAAUCAAAUUAAGUGAAGGAUCACUAAAGCAACAAGCAAAGCAUUCUAGAUUAGACAAACUAACAAGGUAUUGAUUCAUGAACUAACCGCUAGGAUUUUAAAAGCAUAUAAAUUUAGAUAAGGGUGAUCAGGAUCUAACAUUAAUGAUUUUGAAACAAAAACUAAAAAUGGAUCAAUUCAGGCAAUGAACUAAAAUUAUAGAAGUACCUAAACUAAUUAAAACGAGUUUGACUAAAUUAAACUAAAAACGUGAACUUUCAAACAUAGAAUUAAUUUUACUAAUGAACUACAAUUAUAAAAGUGCUUAAACUAAUUAAAAUGAGCUAAACUAAAUCAAAGCAAACUAAAGAUAUGUACUUUCAAGCAUAGAAUUAAUUUUAUUGAUGAACCAAAAAUUAUAAAAGUGUCUAAACUAAAUAGAUGAAUUAAAUUAAAUCAAAGUACACUAAAAACAUGAACUUUUAAAUAAAGAAUCAAUUUUAUCAAUAAAUAAAUAAAACUAUAAAAACACAUAAACUAAUUAAAAGGAACCAAAUUAAAUCAAAGAAUACUAAAAAUAUGAACUUCCAAACAUGGGAUCAAUUUUAUUAAUAAACCAAAACUAUAAAAACACCUAAAAUAAUGAAUACAUAUUAUUAAAUCAAAGCAAACUAAAAAAAAAACUGAAACUUUCAAACAUGAGAUUAAUUUUAUUAAUGAACUAAACUAUAAAAAAUAUCUAAACUAACUAUAAUGAAUCAAAUUAAAUUAAAGUAACCUAAAAACGCAAACUUUCAAAAACAUAAAAUCAAUUUUAUCAAUGAACUAAAACUAUAAAUGUAUUUGAACUAAAUAGAUGAAUUAAACUAAAUCAAAAGUAAACUAAAGACAUGAACUUUUAAAUAUAGAAUCAAUUUUAUCAAUGAACUAAAAUUAUAAAAGUAUCUAAACUAAUUAAAAUGAAUCAUAUUAAAUCAAAGAAUACUAAAAAUAUGAACUUCCAAACAUGGGAUCAAUCUUAUUAAUAAACUAAAACUAUGAAAACACCUAAAAUAAUGAAUAUAAAUUAUUAAAUCAAAGCAAACUAAAAAAAAGACUGAAACUUUCAAACAUGGGAUCAAUUUUAUUAAUGAACUAAACUAUAAAAAAUAUCUAAACUAACUAUAAUGAAUCAAAUUAAAUUAAAGUAACCCAAAAACGCAAACUUUCAAACAUAAAAUCAAUUUUAUCAAUGAACUAAAACUAUAAAUGUAUUUGAACUAAAUAGAUGAAUUAAACUAAAUCAAAGUAAUAUAGAAUCAAUUUUAUUAAUGAACUAAAAUUAUAAAAGUAUCUGAACUAAUUAAAAUGAAUCACAUUAAAUCAAAGAAUACUAAAAAUAUGAACUUCCAAACAUGGGAUCAAUCUUAUUAAUAAACUAAAACUAUGAAAACACCUAAAAUAAUGAAUAUAAAUUAUUAAAUCAAAGCAAACUAAAAAAAACUGAAACUUUCAAACAUGGGAUCAAUUUUAUUAAUGAACUAAGCUAUAAAAAAUAUCUAAACUAACUAUAAUGAAUCAAAUUAAAUUAAAGCAACUUUUAGAUAUGAAAAGAGUGACAUGGAAGCAAUUGAACUAAUAAACUGAAUUUUAAUAACAUUUAAACUAAAAGAUAAAUUAAAACUUGAACUAAAAGAAAUUAUGAAUUUCCUAAUUGAGAACAAAAAUAAUGCUAAUCAAAAUUCUAAAUUUUUAACCAUUAUCACAAAUUAUCCAAACUCUAAAAAAUCCUAACUUUUCCAUUAUCAACAAAAUUGCCUAAACCAAUACUUUAAAAAUAAUAAUGAUAAUAAUAAGUAAAUAAAUAACAAAAAAUCUAAUUUGUCGAACUAAGAAAAUAAAUUUUAACUACAUUAAACAUAAAUCAUAAUUUUCAAGCAAGAAUAAUAAAUCAGUAAUAAUUAAUUUAGUUAGUUAAGAAAAAUUAAAAAUUAACAUCUAAGCUAAAUAUGAAUUUACAAUAAAAUAAAAUUUUAAAAUGCAUAGGCUGAAUGGGAAUAAUACAAGACUAACUUUAACGAAUUAAAAACAUGAAUACAUUGACAUUGGGAAUGAGUAACUAAAUAUAUAAAAUUCUGAAAUAAUUAUGAAUGGCAUUGAAUAGUCAUGAAUCCAAAUUAAAACAGGAAGAAUUAAUUUACCUUGGUCAAAGACGCAUGGGCUACUUUUGUUAGUGACAGUAGGAUUUUUAAAAUCAAUUCCGCCUGGUGUGGUGGAUACCAUGCACUGCAAAUACUUGCACAGUCACCAAAACAAUGCGUAUUAGUGGAGAGAAAUCUUCCCUGACAAUGUGUUGCCAUUGAGAGAAUCUGGUGGUCUCCUUUAUGUCCUCUGAGCAGCAACCCCUUAAGUUGAAUGACAUUUUCUAUGGCCACGCGAUCCCCUUUGGUGCAGCCCGCGCAUGAAGUCCUUCUUAGUGGCUGGUUUCUGGGCAUAAUCUGGCUAGCUCUUUUCAAAGUCCAGAAUGCGUGGAUGUUCUCGAUGAGAAACCCUCGUUUGGUGAAGACGAAGGUAAUCCGCGUCUUGACCGGAGUGAAGACUUCUUGAACAAUCUAUUUUUUUUUUUAAAACUAUAGCUCCUAAUAGUUCACGAAAACACGAUCUGAUCCGACUACUAUUGCGCCAUUCAAGGUAUAGUUGUGCUUCUCUGAAGUUUUUCCCAUGCGCCUACCUUCUUUCCCUUCCUUCUAUAUAUGUAUCACCCUCCAAGACCUAAAUAUGUUUCCAAAAAGGAAAAUUCUCCUAUUUCCUUUUUUUUUUUUUUUUCAAUCUUCCCUUUCAAAAGCCAUCUUCCCAAUUUCAAAUUCCUCUCCAAAAACCUUCCAUGGAGAGUCCUACAUUCCUUAAACUCCAAUGGUAAGUUUCCUUGCAAAAACAUGGAAUUUUUAAAGUUAAAUAAUUGAAUGAAUAGAUAAAUAAGUAAAUAAAUUAGAAAAUGGUAAAAAUAAUAAAUAAAUAAAUAGGUUAAGGAAAAUAAUAUAAAGAGGAAGAUAACCAAUAAAAAGUGAAUGAUAGUCAUAAAACUAAAACUAAAAUAAUAAUAAUAAUAAUAAUAAACAAAUUAACAAAAAUUUGGGCCCCACGAGCCAUGCAAACAUGCAAGUCAUACAAGUUAGGCUAAAAAGUCUUAAUGGGCCAAGUGUGCCUACAUGGGCCUAAGGUGAGACUAGGUGGGCCUAACUAAAUGGGCCAAGGGUGCCUAAAAGCUAUCCUAAAAAAAAGCAAGAAAAGCCUAAGUCUAAAUCAAGACUGCCAAUGAUCACAAUAAAGGGUCAGAUAAUCUCUUAACCAAAGUCUCCGAGAUGACUCAGAAAAAGGUAAGUUGUACGAGUAGUAAUGGGCCAACAAGGAGUUACUAUGGAGCAUUAAAAAUGAAUUUAAAAACAUGUGCUAAAGGGACAAAAUUGAGGGUCUACAAAUAUGCCCCUCUUCGGUAUAGAUCACGAGUGUAGAGAAUGUGAGUAGAAACACGAGUAAUGAGCGAAAUGAAGUGAACUAUAUCGAAGAAUUAAAGAAAGACUAGAGAUUUUGUCCUAGCACAUGAAAAGGUAAGGUCAAAAGGUGGGGUCGCAAUGAGAUGGAAAGAGGUGAAAAGGGUGACUCAAAGUCAUGAAUGAGAUGAGUGAAUAUAGGUUAAGGACAAGAUGAACGACUCUAGAUCUAAAGUAGGAUAAAUGAAUCUGGGGCAUGGGCUCAGGGCUCUAAGUGAAAAGAAUGACUGGGGGUCAUAAAUGGAGGACGACUCUGGGUCGAGAGCUCUGGGCUCUAGGAGGGAAAGAAAUGACUCUGGGUCAUAAAUGGAAAACGACUCUGGGUCAAGAGCUCUGGGCUCUAAAUGGAGAAGAAAUGACUCUGGGUCAUGAAUGGAAAACGACUCUGGGUCGCGAGCUCCGGGCUCUGAAUGGAUAGCCGAUCAGGAUGCUUUCCGACUGAAGGUGCCGUGUCGAGGCCACUCACAAGUGACUAGAAUGAUGAAAACGAAACAUCUCAGGGAUGUGAAUGAUGCAAACGACUCCGGGUCGUGAGCUCAGGGCUCGGGGUGCUAUGAAUGACUCUGGGUCAUGAUGCAAUGAGUAAUUCGGGGUACGAUGAAUAGCUCAAGGCUACGGAUGGUAUGAAUGACUCUAGGUCAUGAUGCAAUGAGUAACUCAGGGUUACGAUGAACAGCUCAGGGCUAUGGAUGGAAUGAAUGACUCUGGGUCAUGAUGCAAUGAGUAACUCAGGGUUACGAUGAAUAGCUCAGGGCUAUGGAUGAAAUGAAUGACUCUGGGUCAUGAUACAAUGAGUAACUCAAGGUUAUGAUGAAUAGCUCAGGGCUAUGAGCUCUAUGACUGAUCGGCUAGAAGGAGAAUGUGACACACAAACUCCAAGUCAAACCACUCAUGGGCGACCAAAUGAUGAAGGCUCAGCUAAAAGUUGGAAAGACUCUGGGUCUAUAGGAAAUGAUAGCUCAGGGCUAUAAGACUUAGGGUCUAGAAGGAAUGGAUAGCUCAGGGCUACGAGGCUUAGGGUCUAGAAGGGAAUAAUAGAGAAGACCAACUCGAAAGUGGACAUGAGAUAAAUUGGCUCAAAGCCAUAUACUCAAAAUGUCAAGGGUCGGACUACUGAAACCAAAAAGGGAAAUAUGCCCUAGUAUCCAAGGUACUCACACUGCUGAAACAACCAGUAAACCAAUCAUCUGCUAGAAUUAAUGGGUCAAGAACCAAUACAUCAUGACAAACCUCUGAAGAGUCAAAACUGAAGGAGGCCUCUGUGUUUGAAAAACUGCUAUGUCGACGAACCUCAACAAAUCUCAAAGUGUGUAUAUCAUGGCUCAUCUAAAAGCAAAUCUCAAACUACACAAAAUGGUGCUCAUCUGGAUAACCCAAUCGACAAGAUAACAAUGAUGAUCGAAAACAAAUCCAUCUCAUGAACAUCUAGCUAAAGGAUCCACCUAUGCUCCUCAGGUGAAAUCUGAUGUGAUCCAUCUCUAUCUCAACAAAUCCAUAUAGGGGGUCUUGAUACAGUCAAUCAUCGAAAGCUCUAGGCUAGUACUCAAUCUGAAACCAAAUUGGCUACUGUCCCAAUCUCAAGGAUACUAAAAUAAAAUGGGGAAAUAUGCCCCAGUAUAAGAUCCGAUAUCAAAGUCAUGAGGUAAACAACCGACACUAAUCAUCCAUCCUCGUACCACUACCCAAACAAAAUCUCGUCAAGGAGAGGGGAAUAUGCCCCAGUAUGGAUAUCCGAUGUCAAAGUCAUGAGGUAAACAAUAAACAAUGAUCAUCCAUCCUCGUACCACUGCCCAAACACAAUCUCAUCAAGGAGAGGGGAAUAUGCCCCAGUGUGGAUAUCUGAUGUACAAUAAAGAGUCUGUCAAAAUCAACCAAACAUCUCUAUAACCAUGAAUAAGGAUAGUCAUACCGCACAAUAACAGAUAGGAAUCUCUGGGGAAGGGGGAAUAUGCCCCAGUGUGAAUAUAUAAUGCACAACCAAAGGAUGAAUCAAACAUCAUCAAUCAACUGUCCUCAGCUUAACAAUAAUCCGCUAAGAAGUCAGAAUGAAGAAUCGACCAAUGCCUCAAAGGAGACACUUUAAAUCUAAUCUUAAAUGAAUAGCCAAAAUGAAGAGGGAUGUGGUAAUCUCAAGAGUAGAAGCAUGUCUUUGAUGAAUCCCUAACUAAAUUUGAUAGGAAUAUGGUAACCUCAAAAUGGGGAAAUAUGUCCCAGUAUGCCAGAUCUAUACACUGCACUGAAAACUGCCUCCAACUCAGUAAUAAUCCACUAGUCUAUUUCAGAAAUACUCCGCGAAUGGAACCAUUAGGGGCUCAACGAUGCUCCACUAGAACUAAUAUAGUCUCAACAUACUCCACUAGGGAUCUCUGAUCGAUGAAAAUACCCAGGUUCAAAGAAAAUGCUCCACUAGGGUCUCAUCUCAACCGAACGAAAGGGGAAUAUGCCCCAGUAUGCAUAUCUGAUGUCGACAAAAGGAUGAAUCCGAUAUCAUCAAUGAACUGUCUCCAAACUCAAAAAUCCAUCAAACAUCAAUAAGUCAAGCAAGAGAAAGACCAAAUGCUUCCAAAAGUAUCUUCCAUAAAAGAGAAUAUGAUAGCGACUAUACUUCAACCAGUCUACAAAAGCCUGUCCAAGUGAAGAUUGUCAAAGAUAACGCUUGAUCUCAUGGCCUCAGGGUGGUCUUAAGACACGGGACGUAACGUAGGCCAAGGUGAUACGGUGAAAGAAAUGAAGGAAAACUAGGCUCAAACACCCAAUGAUCAAACCCAUACCCUCGUGUAUAAGAUGUAAUGCAUAGAAAAAAUCUCAUGAGCCAUGGACUUAAAGGUAACCAAAGGAAAUGUGGAUGGCGGAAUGAGAGAAAGAUGAGUAGUCAAACCAUCAAUGAAACAUGUGCAUGAUGUGAAGAAGGUAUCGAAUAAAAAAAUAUGUAUCAAUAUGUAGGAAAUGGAUAAAAAGGUGGAACAAAGAUCUGGAAAGAGGUAAUGGGAUACAAAAGAAAGCAAUGAGAAAGUGGAAUGAGUGAUGAUCAACCCAUGUUAGUACAAUAAAGGAAAGUCAUAUCACCAAUGAUGGAAUGGUGGGUGAGACAAUGAUCCGAAGACCCUAGUAAAAAGAUUACUCAUCUCUCAUACCUAGUAUAUAUCAAACAUGAUCCAAGAAGUAUAGGAUCUCAUAGAACUCUCAUAUGAACCCUCGACACUCCAAAUGCAUAACAAGAGUGGCUCAAGGAGUGAAAAACUCAUAAAAAAACUCACAAAAACCCACAACGACAAAUAUACCCAAUAAAUGAACCUCAAAAGAUGGCAUAAAUGCCCAAUGGAGCGAGAUACCAUACAUGAACAUGUCAUUGGGCUUUUUUUUUUUUUUUUGGAUGCGCAUGCUCUGAUCAUCAAUAAAUCGAACUCCAAUGGAAAAGAUACAAGGAAUGAACAAACUCUCUCAAACCACUGAUGAAUACAUGAACCCCAACCCAUGAGAGAACCUCUCAAACUAAAAUCUCCGAAUCAAUGCCAAAUGAGGGGAUGGAUGGAGUGAUAUGAUUGCCCUCUUUUGCACCAAGAUGUGAAGAAUCAUCAACCCAAGAAAUAGAAGAGAUAAGAUGAAGCAAAUAAUGAUAAACGCAAGAGAGACAAUGAAAAUGUGAUGAUAGUAAAAUAGAACAAACGGGGCGAUAAGGAGAUGAUAACAAAAUGAGAAGAUAGACCUAUAAGUCUAAAGCUCAUGAGACUUUCCUAGCAAAGCAUGCAUAUACAUCAAAGGGCCCCAACCCGAGUAUAGAAAUGGUAAUCAAGGCUAUAAGAAAGAAAUAAGGCUAUAACAUACCACGCGAAGCUCAAUGGGCUAGCAAUGGUCUAAUAUAUAGAGGUGAUAAAGUAUGAGGCUAACUGAAAUGAUGGCCACCCAUCCUGCAACCACGGUCUCAAACAUAAUACUUCUUUAGCUGAUCCACAUUGGUAGGCUCUGAAAAUUGGUUUCCAUCUAAGUCAGUCAACCAUGCAGCCCCUUCUGGAGUCAACUCUCGAAUAAAAUAAGGCCCACUCCAACUAGGUUUAAACUUUCCUCUGGGGUUUCUAAUCAAACCUCUGAGAAUCCGUAAAACUAAAUCCUCUUUUUGCAAUGGUCUAGGCUUAACUCGUUUCUUGAAGGCACGAGCCAUCUUUCUCUGAUAGGUCUGAACAUGAUCUGUUGCUCUCAAUCUCCUCUCAUCUAAAAGGUUAAGCUGAUCAAAUCGAGCCUGAGCCCACUCUGUCUCAGAAAUCUGCUGCUCAAGGGCUACUCUCAAUGAGCCCAUCUUUGUCUCGAAUGGCAAAACAACCUCCAUACCAUAUACUAGGGAGUAAGGCGUAGCUCCUAUAGAGGUACGAAAAGAGGUACGGUAUGCCCACAAUGUAAAAGGAAGCUUCUCUGACCAAUCUCGAGAAAUCUCAACCAUCUUCCUCAAAAUCCUCUUAAUAUUCUUGUUUGCAGCCUCCACUACCCCAUUGGUCUGUGGCCUAUAUGUAGAAGAUCUAUGAUGUCGGAUGUCAUACUCCUGCAAUAAGGUGUCUACCUCAGCUCGAAAGUGUGCCCCUCUAUCUGAGAUCAACUCAUGAGAAAACCCAUAACGGCAAAUGAUGUGUGAUCUGAUGAAACUGGCAACUCUAGCAGAUGUCAACCUCGUAUAUGAUGCAGUCUCCACCCACUUGGUGAAAUAAUCUAUGGCGACUAGGAUGAACUCAUGACCACUGGAAGAUUUUGGUGAAACCUUCCCAAUAAUAUCAAUUCCCCAUACUGAGAAUGGUCAGGGCGAGGUAACCAAAAAUAACUUGUCCUCAUAAUCUUACGAGCUAGCAUGUGUCCUCCCAUAUGCGGACCACAAACUCCUACAUGAACCUCUCUCAUCACUCGAUCUGCAGAGGCUCGAUCUAAACAAAAAAAAAGCAUACCGUCAGCUGAUCGUCUGUACAAGGUAUCUCCACAAAUCACAAAUCUAGUGCCCAAAUGCCUCAAUGCUCUUCGAUCCUUGACAGUGGCUAACUCAAGGUAUAUGCCAGAUCUAAGGAACUGAUAAAUGUCAUGAUACCAAGGUAGAUCAUCUUGGACCUCUGUCUCUCCAAUCAAACAACAAUAGGCGGGUACAGACCUCAACUCAAUCAGCAACGGACAUACAACUACGUCAAUCGGAAUGUCCACAGAGGAAGCUAGGGUAGCUAAGGCAUCGGCAAAUCGGUUCUGCGCUCUAGGCAGAUGAACAUAUCUCAAGUUAUCAAAUCUCGCAACCAACAACUCUAAAUAAGCAUGAUAUGACCUAAGCUUCACGUCCCUAGUCUUCCAGUCUCCCUGAAUCCGUCUGAGUACCAAAAUGUGAGUCAUCAAAUACCUCCAUCUGUCUAAUGCCAAGCUCCAAUGCAGUCUCUAAACCCAGGAUGCAAGCCUCAUACUCAACUAUGUUAUUCGUAAUAGGAUGUCGAUCAUGGAAUGCCAAACGAACAGAUCUCAGAAUAUGAUCGCCCUAAGGGGACACCAACAGAACACCUAUCCCAUACCCUAAUUGAUUGGCUGCACCAUCAAAGUACAAGCACCAUCCUGAUAUGCUAGUCAUAGCAACAAACUCUUCAUCUGAAAAAUCAUCAUCAACUGGUCUGUCCUCAGAUGUCGGUAGUGAAGCUAAGUGAUCGGCGACAAUACUUCCCUUAAUAGACUUCUGAGAAAUGUACUGAAUAUCGAACUCUGUUAAAAGUACGAGCCAUCUCAUCAAUCUACUAGUCAAUGCAGGUCUAUCAAAUAAGUAUCUCAACAGGUCUAGGCGGGAUAUCAAAUGCACUGAAUACUCUGUCAGGUAAUGCCUCAAUCUCCUGGUAGCCCAAACUAGUGCUAAGCAAAGGCGCUCAAUCAUAACAUAUCUCAUCUCAUACUCCAACAUCCUCUUACUUAGGUAGUAAAUAGCUCGUUCCUUUCCUAAGUCAUCAAUAUGAGCUAACAUACAUCCCAAGGCCAUGUCUGAAACUGACAAAUAUAGAAGAAGUGGACGUCCUGACGUAGGAGGCACUAAAACUGGAGGAGAAAGCAAAUACUCCUUGAUCUUCUCAAAUGCAAACUGACAAUCAUCAUUCCAAACUAUUGGCGGAUUCUUCCUUAAAAGACGAAAGAUGGGCUCACAUAUGUCUGUCAAUCUGGCUAUGAAUCGAUUGAUGUACUGAAAUCUGCCUAGAAAACUCCUAAUCUCUUUCUCAGUCUUCAGCGCAGACAUGUCAAGUAUAGCUUUGAUUUUAUCUGGGUCGACCUCUAUGCCUCUCUCACUGACCAUAUGUCCUAAUAAUUUCCCAGAAGUCACUCCAAAGGUGCACUUCUUGGGAUUCAGCCUCAAUCUAAACUUCUGGAUCCUCUCAAAGAAUCUCUCUAGAGCAUCUAGGUGAUCUGUUCUACCUCGGGAUUUCACAAUCAUAUCAUCCACAUAAACUUCAACAUCCAUAUGCAUCAUGUCAUGAAACAAAGUAGUAGCGACUCUCUGAUAAGUGGCUCCUGCGUUCUUCAACCCAAAUGGCAUAACCCUGUAACAGUAGGUACCCCACUCAGUAAUAAAGGCUGUCUUCUCCAUAUCCUCUAGAGCCAUCAAAAUCUGAUUAUACCCUGAAAACCCAUCCAUGAAAGACAACAUCGAAUGGCCUGCGGUGCUAUCAACCAACAAAUCAAUAUGUGGGAGAGAGAAGUCCUCUUUAGGACUGGCUUUAUUAAGAUCUCUGAAGUCCACACAAACUCUAACUUUGCCAUCCUUUUUGAGUACUGGGAUGACAUUAGCCAACCACUCUGGAUACUUAACCACUGAUAUGAACCCAACACUGAGCUGUUUCUGAAUCUUCUCUUUCACUUGUAGACUCCAAUGUGGAUGCAACCGUUUCAAUUUCUACUUAACUGGUCUAGCAUGUGGUAGGGUAGGUAAAUGGUGCUGGACUAUAGAGGGAUCGAGACCUGGCAUGUCCUCAUAAGACCAUGCAAAGACAUCAAAGUAUGACCUGAGUAAAUGAAUGAGUCUAUCUCUCUCAUCUGUAGAUAGGGGUGAACCAAUCUUCAACUCUCUAGGCUGAUCCUCUGUGCCAAAAUCAACAGUUUCAACGUCCCCUGUAGCAGGUGAAACUCUCACAUCUUUGGGAUCAGAGUCAUGAUCAAAAGAGUCCCUAUCUGAACCGGGCUGUGCAAUCUCAUCAUCUAUAUCAAAUAUCUGUGUGAUGGGUGAGUGGGGUGCAGAUGUAGAGAUACUAUCUCAAGAGACAGACGAAUACUUAAAAAUGCUCAAAUCCAUAAAUGUAGCAAUAGAAACAUUGUCAGAGCGGGAGACAAAUCCCGAUAAAACAUCAAAAGAAAGAGGUGGGUCCACAAGGUCGGACGCUCCCCAAUUGGGCUAACAAUGCCCUCAAACAAAUUACUAUCAUCCUCUAGAAGCUCUAGAAUGGGAAGAGUCUGAGUCCCCUCAAGAACCUCAAUGGUAGACACCCCAAACAUAUCAAAUGCUGAAACAGGCUGAAGUUGAACAAUGCUGGUAAUCUGGCUCAUGGUCAUCAUGUCUAUCUCAUCUCGGUACUCAACAUGGGAAACAACUCCAUCAAUCAUCUCAGUAGAAUCAACAAUCACUCCAUCAUCAGUGAUCUCCUCUGGAAAGCAUAGAGACAACAUGCUAGCUUGAUUUGGAGAUGUGGGAGUAAUCGUCAUAGGGAAAGAAGUGUCGGGAGCCCCAUCACUCAACUAUAGCUGGUGAAACAAAUGCUGAAGAUCGGUCUCUCUAUCUAUAUGAACCACACUAUUGAUCUCCUUUAGACGAGGUCGAGUCUCUGAUCCUUUGACAAAGUAAUUAGCCAAACUUAUCCGAUAAGGUCGAACAGGAUAAUCAAAUGGUGUGUGGGAUAAACGGGCUCUCACCCUUUCCUUGCGCAGCCGCCCCAUGUAACGGUAAUCAGCCUCAGUGGGGAUGAAUCUAAGUCCAAAAGUCGUAUCAUGGUCAAUGGCAGCUAUGAACUCGCCUGGUCCCUGCUGACGUCAUCCUAACCCCAUGCCAGGUAGAAAGGUCAUACCCCUCAUCAUAUCAAGGACCACUGUGCUGCUAUGCUGAUUAAAAGACAUAGCUACAAAAUCUCUGCAAAAAUCCUUAAUCUCGAGAGUCUGUAUCUCAUCAAAAGUAAACCCAGUCAGAAGUGGGUCGUCCUCAUUGUGACUGAUCUGAAGUAUUGUCUCAGAAACGGAAAAUAUAUCCCUGGUAGACCGCAUUGUGAUGACUUGCCCAUCAUGAAUGAACUUCACUUCUGAUGAAGGGAAAAAGGAAUAGCUCCAGCUAUAUGAAUCCAUGGUCGGCCUAGUAGCAGGUUAAAGGAUGUGGGAAUCCUCAAAACUUAGAACAAAGUAGAGAAUGUGGCUGGACCAAUCUGCAAAUCAAUCAUCAAGGUACCCAUAACCUCCCUCUUGGUGCUAUCAUACGCCCUGACUGUUUGAGUAGAAGGACCAAAAUCUGAAGGCGCGAAACCAAGGGCUAUAGCAGUGGCUAAAGAGCAAACAUUCAGGGCUGAGCCGUUGUCCAAUAGGACAGACGAGACUCUAUGGCCUAAACGUCCGACUGUGAUGUAUAGAGGGCGCACGUGGUCUAAACCAUCAGGUGGCAAGUCAUCAUCUGAAAACACAAUGCAAGUGGCCCUGCCGGCUGUCAUCAUAUGAAUCAAUCUCUCGGGAGUGGUGGUAGUCUCUACUCUGAUCUGACUCAAGGCUCGAAUCAAAGCAUCUCUAUGAGUACUGGAUGAUGCUAAUAAAAUCUAGAUGGAAAUGCGAGCUUGAGUGCUCUGUAACUGUCUCAAAACCUCAUCAUCCUCUCUCCUAACCUCCUCAUAAGAGACUGCACCCUCAAACGGUCUGAUUGCUGGUGGUGGUGGCUGAGCUAUCCUCCCACUACGAGUCACAAUCUGUACCUCUCUCCCCUUUGAAUCAUCAUCCUCUGGCCAUGAAGUGAAUGAGACAAAAGCAUCCUGACAUCCGAUAACAAAGGGUGUAGGAUGAGUCAACUGGAAUGGUGCCUCGUAUGGGAUCAAACUGAAUGGUGCAGAAGUCUGAGGGACCAAUGAAACCCCAUCAAUCUCAUAACUAUCAUGCAAAACAAUUGGCUCGGGUAAUCCAUCAUCCCAACUCAACAUGUGUAUACUGUCAUCCUCUAUAAGGUCCAUGUGAUGAAUAUCUCCUGAAGAUGGAGACACUGCGUGUGUAGAAUGAGCAGGAAGAGGGUUCAUAGUCACACUUGGUUGCCCCAAGUUGACCAAACCUUGGUCUAUCAAGUCCUGAAUAGCAUGUCUCAAAGCAGUGCAAUGGUCCGUGUCAUGCCCUGGUCCCUGAUGGUAGGAACAAUGUAAGUCCAUCCUAAAGCGAGGUGGUAUAGGCUGGGGUAAAGGCCUCGAUGCUAAUGGAAUCAAUAAUCCACCCUCUGUGAGCUUCUGAAAGGCUCGACUCAAAGGCAUACCCAACUGAGCAAACUGACAUGGUGGCCUCUGCACAUAAGUAGUGGUCUCUGGAGCUCGGGGUUGAGUAUAUAGGGCAGGAGGCCUCUCUGUGACAUGUGUAGCAAAAAUAGGCUGUGAGACUGGAUGUAGAUAGGUAAAGUCAUAGGUCUGGAAGGAGCAGGCGACCUGUAAUGCGCAUGAGGUGAGGAUGGAUAGUAGAACCCAGGAGUCUGCCCAACUGUCUAAUAGCGUCUAGGAGGCCUCAUCCCUACUGAACUGAUAGCACCAACAUCUCCUGAUCUCUGUCUUCUUAAAGGCUUCUUCCCCUUAGAAUCAGUAGGGGAAGACUUAGACAAUAAUCCUCUAGCAAUGCCCUUCUCUAUACCAUACAAAGCCUGUACCAAAGAUCUAAAAUCCGUAUGAGGAAAUCCAAUCAAGUGUUUAGCGAAUCUAGGUUGUAAGCUCUUUAUGAUCAUGCUAAUCUGAUCUCUCUCUAAAGGACAGUCUAUAAUCUAAGAAAUCUUCUCCCUCCAGCGGGAGAUAAAUGAAGUAACUGACUCCUCUGACCUCUGUCUCAAAGCUUCCAACUCUCUCCUCAAAACAUCAAUGACAGUGUUAAAUGCAAACUAUCUCAAAAACUUCUGGGUUAAGUCAUCCCAAGUCCUACGGCGUGAUACCUCUAAUGAAGUGAACCAACGCUGUGCAACACCACUCAAUAACAUAGGGAAAAGCAUAACCAUCUAGGCCUCAUCCAGUCCAUGGGCCCUCAUAACCGUACUAUAGAGUCUCAAAUGAAUGCGAGGACAACCUAUGCCAGUGUAUCUCUCAAUCUCAAGUCAGCUCUCUAUGAUAUGUACCCCACCAUUUCCAAAUGACAAUAUUGUCCUUGGAUGACCAUGCUCCACUAACAUAGUCUGCCCAAGCUUGAACCUCUUACUUCCAAUUGGAAACCACCUAACUUUGAUGAAAGUAAAACAAUAUGUAGUUGCUUCAUUAAGAUUCAUUCAUUGGAUAGUUGGGGUCCCCUUGGAAGUUGGAACCUUCAGUUAGUUUUCUUUAUUGAUAUCUUGUUNNNNNNNNNNNNNNNNNNNNNNNNNNNNNNNNNNNNNNNNNNNNNNNNNNNNNNNNNNNNNNNNNNNNNNNNNNNNNNNNNNNNNNNNNNNNNNNNNNNNGAUUUAGACACCACCCAUGCUACCCCAUUUUAAGCAACAGAUUCAAAACUAGUGGACCAGAAACCGAAUAAAGAAGUCUUACACUGUGCAGGAGCAGGAGUUUCUCAUUUGUUAACUUCUCCAUUGACAAUGCUAGCUCCAUAGCUGAAUCAAUAAUCAUAGAUAAUUGAAUGAGUUCCCAAAAAAAACAAAAAAAAAUUUAAAAUGUUCAAGACACAAGCAAGUAGAACAAAUACAACAAGCUUGUGAAUAUGCCAGGUGAAAGUCAAAUAAACUAUGGAAGAAGGGUGGGCAGUCCUAUUAAGGUGGUGUUUUUUCUGUAAAGAAACACAAUUUCCGGAGUAGUAAAAUAUGAACAAACGACACCCAAAGAAAGAACAAGAAAAAGGAAAUAAAAGAUUUUGCAUUACUCAAAUCAAACAUCUUUCAUUCUGGAGGUUACAGAGUACGAAACAAUGUCCUCAAGUAAUGCAUACUUAAAUUCAACUUAUUCCAAAUUGCACGGUAUGAGGGAGACCCAAACAGGAAUUAAGGGGCACGUGAAUAGUUUGAUGGAGGGCCUUUUGUGUGUUUGUGGAUUCGGGAGCAAAAAGAAAUGACACCUUAAAUUUAUACUUUUGAAGAACUAAAACCUAGACAAAUGCAUGCCAUAUAAAAUAAUGCAGGUGUGUGCGAACACGCACACAUGUCAACUCAUAAGCAUGGAGAAGAACCGGAAAGAAACUUACAGUACAAUGCAUCUCCCUUCUCAGCAUGAUCAAACUCUGAAGGGGUCAUCAGGAUAGGAUGUAGCUUUACUUUUCCUCCUCUUUUGUUCUAGUAAUUAUCAGAAAGCAUAGUAUUAGAUAUGCAAAACCAAGAAAGAAUAAGUAAAUUAAGAAGGCAACAAAUCACUUCUAGAAAACCUGGUAUUCCAUCAGUUUCUCAGCAUGCUGUCUUUCUUCUUCACUUGACUCCUUGAAGAAUCUGAAGCAACAGGAUGAUACAUUAACUCUAAUAAUUAGAACAAUCAAGCAGUAUGAGAGAAUUUAUGGUUAUUGGGGUUACUUGGCAAGGCCCCUGAGAGCAAUGUUGUCCCUGUCGAAGUAUGCAAACAUUGAAUGAUACACAUAAGACACAUUGUAUUCCACACUGUUAUAUCAAACAAAGCAAGAAAAAGGUCAGUAAGAAGAAAAUUUUAACUGAAACAGGAACUAGUGAUAACGAUGAUAAUGAUGCAUGAAAAAUCCUGGACCUGGACGAAGAAACAAAGUGAAUGAAAAGUAAAGUGAAUUUUACAGAGUAGAAUGGUAUCCCCCCUCUCAGGUCAGCCCUGCUCUUUAAAACAAACACAUGCCCACAGCUUGAGAUUCGCAGCUAUAACUCCUAAAGUCCCAUUGUCUUUUCCUGGGAAUCCACUUAAGCAACUCAAAGAGAAUUGCUCUGUCCGGACUAAGGAGACUACUUUACAAGGCUAUAUCAGAAAGCAUUUUGUAUGGUCUCAAUGUAGUAUGUUUUACAAAGAUAGCAGAAUACUGAUAAGAGCAGAAUAUGAAACAAUCUCCAUCUUGGCUUUAAUUUCUACCAAACCUCCCCAUGAUGGUCCCAUUGUCUUCUCCACCACAAUCCCCUAAGCAUCCAAAUCAACUAAACUACAUGUUGAUCACUAAUGAGAAAAAAUAGAAAAAAUUUUAACCUCUCCCAGGAAGUUGAAUUCCAUUUAUUUUAUUUUUAGCACCUUCUGUAGACCAUGAUGAGUUAAAGAGUCUAUGAAUCAUGUCCUGCCAUAGACCAAUUUUCAUCUUCCUAUUGAAUUAUCCACCCUAAACUUAAUUUAUCUAGCAUCAUAAACCAAACCACUAACUCGAGUUGAACUUGGCUUGGGCUCAAGAGCAUGAAGAGCUAGACAAUGGCUCAUUACGCAUGGUUGAAUGAUCAUUUCUCAUGCUUGACCAAACUUAACUAGAUCAUGUAAAUUUGUAACUAUGGUUAUAGUAAAACUAAACAUUAAGUUAAGAUCACAUAUAUGGUAGUCAACAAAAAGGUAGAGCCAACCAAAGCUUGGAUUAGGUACAGUAAUUUAUUGUGAGCCUCAUUUAGAUCAAGAUCAGCCAGCACCUAGUUAAGCUUGCUCAGGUUGUAGAUAAAAUUCAAUGCGAAGUUAAAGCAGAUGCAUAAAACGAACAACAAGGAGGGACAGAAGGCAGGAAGCUUAACAUGAUCUUCCUAAAAUUGGGCUGUUUCUUAAGAAGGGAUGUGUUGCAAACUCUCUCUUUGUUAAGAAUCAAAAGUACCAGGCAUUGAUGAAUGUGAAAACCAAGUCAGGAACAAUAAACAAGUAGAACCCAAUUCUCAAAACAGGGACUAGAAGACAGGGUUCUCUGGGAAAACAUAUUAAGUUUAAGGUUUGGAGUUGGUGGGCGAUAAUGGCAGAAGAAAAAAAAAUGAGAACACAAAGUCAAUGCAACUUGAAGCUUUAAGCAAAGAAACAAAGAGGGGGAAAGCAAAAAAUUGGAAAGGAAUUUCGAACAGUUUUGUUUAUUUAUUUUAGAAAUAAUAAGAAAAAAUAAUUAUAAUAAAAACUAUUUAAAGUCUUCAUAUUUUUAAUUUAUAAUAAUAUUUGAGAAAUAAAAUAAAAUAAAAUAUUAAAUUUAAGUUUAAU